AGUAACACGUGAGUGACCUGCCUUUUAGACUGGAACAACUUACCGAGAGGUGAGCUAAUGCCGGAUGAGUUAUAUAAGUGCAUGUUUAUAUAGGAAAAGUUGGGAGACCUGACGCUGAAAGAUGGACUCGCGUCCCAUUAGCUAGUUGGUAGGGUAAUGGCCUACCAAGGCGACGAUGGGUAGCCGGCCUGAGAGGGUGGCCGGCCACACUGGGACUGAGACACGGCCCAGACUCCUACGGGAGGCAGCAG
rnacentral:rRNA from 1 species